rnacentral:rRNA from 1 species
AAAUUGAAGAGUUUGAUCAUGGCUCAGAUUGAACGCUGGCGGCAGGCCUAACACAUGCAAGUCGAGCGGCAGCGGGAAAGUAGCUUGCUACUUUUGCCGGCGAGCGGCGGACGGGUGAGUAAUGCCUGGGGAUCUGCCCAGUCGAGGGGGAUAACAGUUGGAAACGACUGCUAAUACCGCAUACGCCCUACGGGGGAAAGGAGGGGACCUUCGGGCCUUUCGCGAUUGGAUG